UGGUGACAACAUGUGAAACUAUGUCUCUCC
rnacentral:piRNA from 1 species